GUCAGUCCGUCCACCAGAUGGUUUCCGGAUGAUAACUCAAGAACGCUUAGGCCUAGGAUCAUGAAACUUCAUAGGUACAUUGAUCAUGACUGGCAGAUGACCCCUAUUGAUUUUCAGGUCACUAGGUCAAAGGUCAAGGUCACAGUGACUCGAAAUAGUAAAAUGGUUUCCGGAUGAUAACUCAAGAAUGCUUAGGCCUAGGAUCAUGAAACUUCAUAGGUACAUUGAUCAUGACUGGCAGAUGACCCCUAUUGAUUUUCAGGUCACUAGGUCAAAGGUCAAGGUCACA